rnacentral:rRNA from 1 species
CUACGGGGGGCUCCAGUUAGGAAUAAUCUACAAUGCGCGCAAGCGUGAUAGUUUGAAUCAGAGUGUUUUUCUAUUUGAAAAGCUUUUGUGGAAUGUAAAAAGUUUCACGAAUAAGGACUGGGUAAGACGAGUGCCAGCCGCCGCGGUAAUACUCGCGGUCCAAGUCGCAGCCAUUUUUAUUGGGUCUAAAACAUCCGUAGCUUGCUUAAUAAGUUUCUUGUGAAAUUUUAUGUCUCAAGCAUGAACCAUGCAAGAAGUACUGUUUAGCUAGAGACUGGUAGACGUAAGAAGUACGUUCAGAGUAGCGGUAAAAUGUGUUAAUCCUGGGCAGACUAACAAAGCGUAGGCAUCUUACGAGAACAGUUCUGACAGUAAGGGAUGAAGGCCAGGGGCGCAAAACGGAUUAGAUACCCCCGUAGUC